CCUACGGGUGGCAGCAGUGAGGAAUAUUGGUCAAUGGACGAGAGUCUGAACCAGCCAAGUAGCGUGAAGGAUGACUGCCCUACGGGUUGUAAACUUCUUUUAUAUGGGAAUAAAGUGAUCCACGUGUGGGUUUUUGUAUGUAUUUUAUGAAUAAGGAUCGGCUAACUCCGUGCCAGCAGCCGCGGUAAUACGGAGGAUCCGAGCGUUAUCCGGAUUUAUUGGGUUUAAAGGGAGCGUAGGUGGUGUGUUAAGUCAGUUGUGAAAGUUUGCGGCUCAACCGUAAAAUUGCAGUUGAAACUGGCAGUCUUGAGUACAGUAGAGGUAGGCGGAAUGCGUGGUGUAGCGGUGAAAUGCUUGGAUAUUACACAGAACUCCGAUUGCGAAGGCAGCAUACUAACGUGGCUCUGACAUUGAGGCACGAAAGCGUGGGUAUCAAACAGGAUUAGAUACCCCAGUAGUC
rnacentral:rRNA from 1 species